GUUAUGCUGUACAUCAUUGAUAUAUUCACCUAGGCAACAAUCUCUUUCGGCCGUUAUUGUCAAUCAGCUAUUUAAGCAAUUUACAAGAAAGUCGGCCGAGAUUAAAAAGGCUAAAUGAAAUCGGAAGCACCGUCAAAAAAUUUCAUCUAUAAUCAUUCUUCGAAAAAAUGUAAUUUUUUGUUUCUAACUUGCAGUUCUUCCCACAUGCUAUGAUUUUGUCACCCUGUAGGAGACCAACCAUCCUGCCAAAAAAGAACAAGAAUAAAUCCAGAACCACAAAUCCUAUUCAAGCUUUCCCCUUCAUCGUACAAGAUGCCAAUCCUAGUAUGGAUUAAACAAAGCCUGUGCAUUUCAGCUCUGGAUGUAUUCCAAGUGAAGAACACCUGCAAAACGAGAUCUCCAUGGAUGUUGCCGCAGAUAGCAAUUCAUGCGAAUCCCUCUCCUUUUCUGGCUUCCUAUCUGUUCAAGAUCUGGGAUUAAAGUCCCCUCAGACAGAUGGCAUCAUCCAAAUUAGAAAGCAAAACCAAGGGUUUGAGUUCAGUCACAUUGCAGACUCAGCUGCUCAAACUCUAAACAAGAAUUGCCCAGCUGAUAUUUCUAUCUCCGGUGGACAGCUGCAACUACAAGCGUUUCUGUAUCAAUCCAAGCAGGUGAAUCAUAAGCCUGGCUCCAAAGGUGCAACUCGUUGCAAUAACGAGAGACUGAAUAGAAAGGUCUCGGAUAACCCAAAUCAUAAAGACAGAAACCAAGCUAAGAUGAAGCAUACUCCUGCUUCAAAUUUGUCAUUGGGCCAGAAAA
rnacentral:misc_RNA from 1 species